GACGAACGCUGGCGGCGUGCUUAACACAUGCAAGUCGAAUGGAAAGGCCCUGCUUGCAGGGUACUCGAGUGGCGAACGGGUGAGUAACACGUGGGUGAUCUGCCCUGCACUUCGGGAUAAGCCUGGGAAACUGGGUCUAAUACCGGAUAGGAGCCAUUUUUAGUGUGAUGGUUGGAAAGUUUUUUCGGUGUAGGAUGAGCUCGCGGCCUAUCAGCUUGUUGGUGGGGUAAUGGCCUACCAAGGCGGCGACGGGUAGCCGGCCUGAGAGGGUGGACGGCCACAUUGGGACUGAGAUACGGCCCAGACUCCUACGGGAGGCAGCAGUGGGGAAUAUUGCACAAUGGGCGCAAGCCUGAUGCAGCGACGCCGCGUGGGGGAUGACGGCCUUCGGGUUGUAAACUCCUUUCGCUAGGGACGAAGCUUUUUGUGACGGUACCUAGAGAAGAAGCACCGGCUAACUACGUG
rnacentral:rRNA from 1 species